rnacentral:rRNA from 1 species
UACGUAGGGAGCAAGCGUUGUCCGGAAUCAUUGGGCGUAAAGCGCGCGUAGGCGGCCCUGUAAGUCCGUUGUGAAAGUCAAAGGCUCAACCUUUGAAAGCCGGUGGAUACUGUCGGGCUUGAGUACGGAAGAGGCGAGUGGAAUUCCUGGUGUAGCGGUGGAAUGCGCAGAUAUCAGGAGGAACACCGGUGGCGAAGGCGGGUCUCUGGGCUGUAACUGACGCUGAGGAGCGAAAGCGUGGGUAGCGAACAGG